rnacentral:rRNA from 1 species
AGCGAACGCUGGCGGCAGGCCUAACACAUGCAAGUCGAACGGCAGCACGGGAGCAAUCCUGGUGGCGAGUGGCGAACGGGUGAGUAAAGUAUCGGAACGUGCCCAGUCGUGGGGGAUAACGUAGCGAAAGCUACGCUAAUACCGCAUACGAUCUAAGGAUGAAAGUGGGGGAUCGCAAGACCUCAUGCUCCUGGAGCGGCCGAUAUCUGAUUAGCUAGUUGGUGAGGUAAAGGCUCACCAAGGCGACGAUCAGUAGCUGGUCUGAGAGGACGACCAGCCACACUGGAACUGAGACACGGUCCAGAAUCCUACGGGAGGCAGCAGUGGGGAAUUUAGGACAAUGGGCGCAAGCCUGAUCCAGCAAUGCCGAGUGAGUGAAGAAGGCCUUCGGGUUGUAAAGCUCUUUUGUCAGGGAAGAAACGGUAGGGGCUAAUAUCCUUUGCUAAUGACGGUACCUGAAGAAUAAGCACCGGCUAACUACGUGCCAGCCGCCGCAGUAAAAC